ACAUAAAACCUGAUGAGGUUACUGUUUAAUUACACAUAAAACCUGAUGAGGUUACUGUUUAAUUACACAUAAAACCUGAUGAGGUUACUGUUUAAUUACACAUAAAACCUGAUGAGGUUACUGUUAAUUACACAUAAACCCUGAUGAGGUUACUG